rnacentral:rRNA from 1 species
AUUGAACGCUGGCGGCAGGCUUAACACAUGCAAGUCGAGCGGGGGAAGGUAGCUUGCUACCGGACCUAGCGGCGGACGGGUGAGUAAUGCUUAGGAAUCUGCCUAUUAGUGGGGGACAACAUCUCGAAAGGGAUGCUAAUACCGCAUACGUCCUACGGGAGAAAGCAGGGGAUCUUCGGACCUUGCGCUAAUAGAUGAGCCUAAGUCAGAUUAGCUAGUUGGUGGGGUAAAGGCCUACCAAGGCGACGAUCUGUAGCGGGUCUGAGAGGAUGAUCCGCCACACUGGGACUGAGACACGGCCCAGACUCCUACGGGAGGCAGCAGUGGGGAAUAUUGGACAAUGGGGGGAACCCUGAUCCAGCCAUGCCGCGUGUGUGAAGAAGGCCUUAUGGUUGUAAAGCACUUUAAGCGAGGAGGAGGCUACUUUAGUUAGUACCUAGAGAUAGUGGACGUUACUCGCAGAAUAAGCACCGGCUAACUCUGUGCCAGCAGCCGCAGUAA